AGACCUGAAAUGUUAAAUUUGGAUGAGAAUGAGAAUUCUGGGGCGAAUACUAUCCAGGGAAACGGUCAUUGACAUCCAGAAAAUGGUCAAAAUGUGGAAUUCUGUCAUUCAGUUAAAUGUCAAGGGGAGAAGACAGGCCUGUGCAGUACCAAAUUUCCAGCCCAUUACUAUUAGUGAGCAAAAGUGGGGAUCAGGAUAAAAAAUGGGUAUUUUUUUCGAAAUUGGAUUGGAAACAGAGCACAAGGGACGGCAACAAAGUGUAAAAAGAAACAUAAAUCGUCUAGAAAAAACACUAGAUGUAAAAUGGUAGUCAACAGAUGAUCAGUUUGUCAAGCAUCAAUAAUCCACCAGAAUCAAAUGAAAGCAAGAACUGCCCAACGUAUUACUAAUUGGAACAUCUGAUCACAUGAAUCUGAUCAGCACAUCUUGAUGACUUUUAUUCUAGUGAUUCUGUUGAUACUGAAUAUUGUUCUUCGAGUCAUUCUGUGAAUAUAAUUCUUUGAGCGAGUGAUCACAUAAAUUCAAGACAUCUUGAUGACUUUAAUUCUAGUGAUUUCAUGAAUAUGAUUCUAAUAAAUAGCUUAUUUUUAGAAUUUAAUUUGUAACUGAAUGUGAUAUGAUGUUAAUAUUAAACUUAAUACGUAAUUAUGUUAACAAUGAACUAAAUGUAAAAACAAUGACAUUAUUUCUGACCAGAUCAGCGAAAAGUACUUUAAAAAUGUCAAUUAAACCGUUUCUUUUGUGGUUUAAAAAAUUUUGAUAUAAUUUUUAUUAUGAUGUGGAACUAAAUGUAUAUUUAUAUUAAAAUUAAUCUUAACAUAUAUUUAAA